GACAAAGGACUAAAUCAUUCCAGGGAGCCCAGAGACAGCCUAAGUAGCUGGUUCUAACCUGCAAUUCCACCACACAGACCCUCUGCUCCAGUGCUACCAAACGAUGUACUGGUUCCACUCUUCACUAAAACUUUCUCAGCCUUCCUGUCCGGGCCACCUCCUGGGAUCGGCAUAGGCAUCACCUGCUCCAGGAAGCCUUCCCGGUUGACCCUUCUCUGCAUCUUCAUGCUAGUCUGGAAAAAAGAUACCACAAAAUAACUAUGGUCAACCAUAUGAAGGACCAACCCUGCCAGCCAUCGGAAGAGUUUCAAAAGCAAGACGUCACCCUGUGCUGUGCCCCUACACACAU